UGAUGUAAGGGUCAAAAGGUCAAAGAGUCAUUCGUGCUUGCACGAUAAGACUCUUUGACCUUUUGACUCGCUUAACACCGAAUAUGGUUUUUUAUGAAAGGUUGAGGUGUUAUAGGAUUGUGUAGUAAUGUAGCAAUAUGGACAAUCUGUUAUAUAA
rnacentral:sRNA from 1 species